GUUCUUCAAAUGAAGAUCCAGUGGGCCACUACAUGGAAUCUAAUGUUUAAAACAUGUUGAAAAUCCAAAAGCAUGAUAUGGAUAACAUCUGGGAAGGUUGCAUGUACUUUUAUUGAUAAAAUCUUACCAGUGUCAAGACUGUUCUUUACAACUCUUUUGAAGGCCAAUUAUUCAGGUGUGUGGAAAGGAAUCAGGAAAAAAAAAAAAAGUCAUUUCCUCCAAAUCCAAAACUUGUUUGAAGAUUCUGCUGCUUACUGUCACCAAGAACAGAGACUAACCUAACUGAGUUUGAUUAGGGGCUGACAAGCAUUGAAACCGACUACUGUCUAGACAUUCUGAACUUAAGACAGCAAUUACACGAUGAUUUCACAAAACAGAGUGCAAAAGCAAAGUGUUUGCAGAUGUGGAUACUGAAUCAGAUCUGCUUGACUUUGAACUUGAGCACUGCUCUGUGACCACUGUCUGACAUGGACAGACACCCGCAGACCUGCUUCACCACUCCUGAAGUUUCCCCCUUGCAGAUGGGAAGCAGGGCUUGAACCCACGACAUUGUGUGGUAGAAUUUUGCCACCUACCUAGACACCACCUAUAUUAGAAGAAAAAAAAAAUCAGUGUUGCCUUAGGAUGUUCCAAAAAGCCGGCAUAAGGAUCAUGACAGGGGUAAACUAAGGAGUGGACACUGGCUCUACAAUGUGAGUGAAACUUCUAUUUUGGACCUCUACUGGAGUUUUUGGAAAGAGAACAAUCUCUUUCACCUGCACUGGUAAAGAACCUGAAUCCAUCAGCUACCAUGUUGCCAUCUUGGGAGAACAAUGUUUUCCUGCUGAAAUGACUGUCAGAUUGCUACGAUGUCUGCUCAGUUGACACUGGUGAAAGUCAUAGUGCUGUAACAUUUGGAACCCCUUCUAGCAAUGCCUGAAGCUGGUCAUUUGCAAUCAUCGUAAUACACGUUAAGGAUGAUAUCAUGCCAGUUUGUACUGGGUUUCUGUCAUUUAUAUUGAAACAGAUUCUGAAUAACAUACUUUUUCUAGAUAAAAUGUAAGACAUGGUAUAAAUGUGUUUUAGGCCACAGACUUUGAAAGGACUCUUAAUAUGACUGUUAAACAAAAUUACUUUAAACUAG